rnacentral:rRNA from 1 species
CAAACGACUCUCGGCAACGGAUAUCUCGGCUCACGCAUCGAUGAAGAACGUAGCAAAAUGCGAUACUUGGUGUGAAUUGCAGAAUCCCGUGAACCAUCGAGUUUUUGAACGCAAGUUGCGCCCAAAGCCAUCCGGCCGAGGGCACGCCUGCCUGGGCGUCACG